rnacentral:misc_RNA from 1 species
GAAAUUCAUCUGCAAGGCUUAAGGUAAAUCUAAAAUUAUCAGACAGAUAAAAUAGAUAGCAAAGGAUGAUCAGAAAAGAAGAUUUUACCUUUUGGGACAUCUAUGCUAUUUCAGAAGGACCAAUAGCAAGAAGGACAUCUAUACACUAAGGUUGCAAAUGCUCACGACACAUAAUAAAAGCAUUGCACACAACUUAUGAUAAAAACAUAUACAUGCUCAAUGCAAUGCAUCUAAAAGUAAAAAAAGUGGAUGUAUACGCUUGGAAGCACAAGCGAGAAGAAUUAAUGCACAUAUAAAUAGGCAUCAUCCAUCACAUAAAUGAAAGUCACCAAAAAUAAAAGCGUAAAACUGUGAAUGUUCCAAUGUUUCAAAUUCUAGUGGAAUUUUCAUUCAACGAACUGUGAGCAUUUGCAACCUUAAAAUGACAAGUAAAAUUUACUAUGAUACUCAAAAAGUGCUACUUUAGCUAUAAAAGUAUGUUUAACAGCAACCAGCAGCGGUGGUUACGUUCGAGGAAUAAGGAAAAUUUAUUUCAGUAUGAAACUCGUUACUUACAGCAUUCGUUAGUACCUUUUCAUCAAAGGUUAUGCAAAAGUUUAGCAUCACGUGUUCUAUAACUAAUAUAGGCACAACUGUUUCUGAAAUUUAUAUGGAG